rnacentral:rRNA from 1 species
GACGAAGGUGGCUAGCGUUAUUCGGAUUUACUGGGCAUAAAGCGCGUGUAGGCGGCCUGUGUAAGUCGGAGGUGAAAUCCCGCAGCUCAACUGCGGAACUGCCCCCGAUACUGCCGGGCUUGAGUACAGGAGGGGUGACUGGAACUCCAGGUGUAGCGGUGAAAUGCGUAGAUAUCUGGAGGAACACCAGAGGCGAAGGCGGGUCACUGGACUGUCACUGACGCUGAGACGCGAAAGCUAGGGGAGCGAACAGG